GCUCUGUCCCUUAUACCACUCAGUUGCAUAGGUAUGUAUAUAUCUAGCCUAGGGAUCUAAGUAACGGUGCCUGUUGGAAUGGAAAUUCCUAAGUGCUCCAAACCACUUCCAUCUACAUCUGGGGGAUGGUUUGAUCAGCAGGGAUACCUCUAGACUUUGAUGACAUAAAGUAAUAGCUCCUACAGGAAGAGUUUAAUUCCAAAUCAAAAGAUGAAUCCAAUCAACAGCAUCGAUGACAAGUGGUCAACUAAACCUGGCUCCUGUUCACCACUUUAUGAAUGACAUGGUCAUUUAUGUAAUCUACAAAACUGGGUUUGGUUUUCUUGGCUUUUUCUCUACUCUUAACCUUAAUUCCUCUUAAUUUCUCUUGUGUAAUACAUCUUUCAUCUGUUCCUCUUCUUUAUUUCCCCUACUGUCACCCAGGACAAGCUUUAUUUCUACCUUCCUGGAGUGUCACAAUUGUCUUCUAAUAGAAAUAUUCUGGUAUCCACCCUAUUCCUUUUCCAAUUCAUUCUUCAUAGCACAAUUUGAUGAAUCUUCCUUAUGCAAAGCCUAGUCAUGCCUUUCCUCUGCUCACAAUUUUUCAGUGGCUCUUUAUUGCCUAUUAAGUUAAAUACUUUUUUGUAACUUUUAAAACCCCCAAUCUGAAACUGCCUUACUUUUCAAAGCAUAAUUAUUACUUCCUUCUUGAUGUCCCAGUCAAGAAAACUCUGUCCUCUCAAAAUGCCCUGUGUUAUUUAGCUUGCCUGUCCUUUUGGUCAUGCUGUUCACUAUGCCUGGGAUAUCUUUCUUCCCUUCCCCUCUUUAUCCCUUAAAUUCCUACCUUUCCUUUGAUACCUCUUUCAAUUGACAUGCACUGUUUGAGGCUUUCCCUGUACUGUUUAUAUUUUUUUAAAAUUUUCUUAUGCACUUUUCUGUUAGUAUAAGUCUAAUUACACUAAAAUGUAACUUUAACACAAGGAUUAUAUUUUAUGUGAAUUUUGGGUUUAAUCUAUCCAGUCUCACUUGUUACAUCCCUAUACAUCUGCUUAAUGUUUAAAGUAAAUUAAAUUGCUGAACAGCCUAUUUCAAAUAAUAAAGAAGUUAAGCGGGAAUAAGAUUCAAAAUGAUUCCAGGUAAGGAGCUUCUUCUAGAUAUGAACUUCCUAUUUCCUUGACCUAAGAGAUUCAGACUGGGUUGUUGCUGAACCCAGGACCCUCAAAGAACAUUUUUGGUUCCUACUGAGGUCAGUUACUCUAGCUGUCCAAGUUGUGACUGUUCCUGAAAUCUCACUGAUGAACUGAUUCUUGGAGUAAAAUUAUCAACCAGUGAAAAAGUUGUGAGUAAAUUAUAACUGAGAAAGGGCUCUAGAAACAUUGUAGGGACUUUUCUCUUAGCUUUAUCCUUACAUCAGAAGGAUUAAAUGUCACCUAGAGCGUACAGAGAGGUAACAGGUUUAUUUCAAGGCCUUCUAGUGAAAGUCUGGAAGGAACAUUCUCUGUGGAUCACAGUUCGGCAAUAGUUUAUUCAAAAUAUAAAUAGCAGAGGGAGGGUGAACUGCAUCCAAGUAAAUUUAAGAAGUAUAUUUUUGGAUGACUUGUAGCUUGAAAACAUUCCACUCUCAGUCAUCCAGAAUGAUGCAUCACUUAGAUUUCAUCUUCCAUGACUGUGCUAUGACACUAACCUCUGAAAUUCUCUUUUCUCAUCAAACUCUAAAUCUACUUCCUAAGUAUAUUCUUUAUCAUUACACUACCUACCAUUCCGUCCAUCAAUCUGUUUUCAAAAUGUCUUUCUCAUGUCUAAUUUUCCUCUUUUAGUCAUAACCUCAUAGCUAAUUGCAAAUCUUCAAUGCCCUUCACCAUUACCCAUGUUUUACCAAUCCUUAACCUGGGCACUCCUACUAUCUGACUUCUCCAUUUUUAAGUCAUUUACCCAAGCUGAGUCUUUUUGAAGUUACAUCUUAGCCCACCUCAACUGUCUCUCCUCACUGAUAUCUGGUGAUCAACUUUUCUUCUGAUUGACUACUGCACUUUCCCCACCCUCCAUCUCAGGUACUAUUUCAAAUCUUCUCUGUCUUCAAGUACUCUAUAGCACUUCAACUUCCCUCUUCCUCAAUGGAUGACAUACUUUACUGAGAAAAUCAAGUGUAGUCAUUCUUCAAACUUGAUAUCCCAUCUUGCAUAAAACAUCCCCCCUACUCUAGAGUAUAAUCCCACCUUAUCCUCCUCUUAGAAUUUUGAUCUUAAAACAGUUCAGAUGCCAUCUCCUCCAUGAAACCUUUUCAGAUAUCUGUAAAUAUGUAUCCUUUCUCUUCUAUAUUAUUUACUUAUGUAUAUGCAUUUUGUAUUUUCUUUCCUUCCAUUAGAGGUCAAAGUACUUUUUUUCUUUAUAGAUAGUAUGUGCUUCAUCAUAGAAUUGAAUUUCAAACAUCCAGAACUCAAAUUUUAACAUUGUUCAAUUAAGAGCUAAAAAAAAAAAAUUAUUAUAAAUCAUGAUAAGAAUACCUAAGAUAUAUGUUGGAUUUAGGUUUCAAAAAUUGCAAAAACUUUCAAUGGGAUAGCAAGUUACGAGACCUGGGUUUCUGGUUUUGGCCUUUAUUGGGCCUUGGCCUGUGGGACUUUGGGUAAGUUAAUUUUCUGGGCCUAGUUCUCCUCAAUUAUAAAUGGAAUAAGAUUGGCCUAGAUCAUUAACUUGCCUCCAUUCUUCAUUAUUCUACAUUACUAACUGCUCUACAUGGUGGGACAGAGUAGUGGAAGAGGUAGGACUGAGAUAAUGAAAGAGAGAAGUAGCUGGCCUUUGAAUGGGAGAAAAGAUGUAUAAAUUUGAGAAGAGUAAAAAUAAGGGAAGAAAAAAGGAGCCAUGGUUCGGGGGAAACAGAUGAUGCCAUAGCACAAGAGAAAAUUGGCAGGAAUUACUUUCCUUUGUUGCUGCUGUCCAUUGCCUAGUCUCUUUCCCCCUAAUAUCUUCAUUACUGAUUGCUGGUAUAGAUAUGUUCUGCUUAGCAAAUAAAUCAGUGGAUCUGGGGAUCCUAAGUGUUGUCUGAAGACUGGGACCUUGGCACCAAGGGACGAGAUACAGGUCUGAAUCUGGAAUGAGCUGAGGAAGGGUUGGGAAUCAUUAUUUCAAAAAGUUAGAAUUCUGAGAUGCCCAUCAACUGUCACCUAGCUGGAGAUCUGAAUCCUGGUGUUUGCUGGGACCAUUUUACGUCACAGGUGAUGGAAAUUCAAAAUAAAAAUAUUAUGGCUCUAAAAGAGAGAUGGAUUGACAGAUACUCAGUGAUAGGAGCUGGUAAUUGUGAACUUGGAAAGUUCUGGGACAAAGGAUCUUACAGAAGACACAAAAUAAAGGAACAAGAGUCAAUCCAAGAGGACAAAUAGAUCAGGAUUGCUUAUUAUACCCAUGUCAGGUCCAUGAUAAGAAUGGCAGUGAAAUAGGAAACUAAGCUGAAUUUCAGCCAACUAGGGUUUAUCUAAAGGAGCAAAAAGGGGAAAACUACCAUUGGAUCUGCCCCUUGAACAGGAUCAUCAUCACAGAUAAGCAAAUCAGUGCCUAGCUUGCUGUGGAAGUUUGUGAGGAAGUCAAAGAAGAUAAACUAACAGCUCUUUAGACCCUCUCAGAAGAAUAAUAACAAUGUUUAUAUAGCAUUUUAAAGUAUUAUCUUCUUUGAUACUUACAACAAUCCUUUGAGGAGAAGUGGGCAACAUAGAACUUUCAGGAGAAAGCCCAAUCAAGCCUAUUCUCAGCAGCAGGGGCCCGACCAAGUACAGGGAUGACUUGUCCUGGGAAGCCACAGCAAAAGCAACGGCAAAAGGGAGAGGAGUCUGAAGUUCUUUCAUGGAAUGAGCUGUGAAACUCUGAAGUAGCCAUGUCCCUUCUCUGGGUAUCAGUUUCAUUUUCUGCAGAUUUGGCCUGGAGCUCGGUUAAGGCUUUUGUGGCUCUCAAAACCCACAAGUCUAUUCUUUUGAAGAUCCAAACACCUAAGUCCAAUGUCAGCACACUGUCUUUUUGAAGCACAGAAUAAGAAUGAGAGUGUUCCUCAAAAAUUUCCUGUUCCUGGGCACCCCAUGCUGGACCAUGUGUUAACUCUCUUAAGCACUGUUCUAGCUCCCUGAGAAUGGCAGAACAUUUGGUCAUCUUGUAUUAUACUGCUCACAGCAAACAUUUGCAGAAUGAUCACCUUGAAAACAAUCGAAGCUUACGUUCCAGUAUCUGUUACUGGAAAUGUGGAUGUAAAAAAAUUCUAUAAAUUAAAUCAAUGAGGUUUGGCGCAGGGCAGAAAGUUGUGGGAACCUCUUCCUGUCAGUGCAGAAGUUCUUCAUGAAGGAAUUCACCAACCCAAAAAGUUAGACUAGCAAAAAGUUUAUUGUUGGCCCUGAGAAGUCAGCCUUUGCUAGGAAGACUGACUUCCUCAGUGGCAAGGUCCCAACAGAGAGAAAGUUCCUAGCAGAGAAUCUUGGCAGAGAGAGAUAAACAAGGGGUGUAGAGAAAUUCUGGCAGAGAGAUAAAGAGGGGUGGUAACACUGAGAAGAGGGAGUCUCUUCUCAGCUGCCAAGGAGAGGUCCCUUGGCCUGGCCUGAUUCCUGCUUUUGUCCCUCUUCAAGGUACUGUUAGGGAAAUGGAGACUGACAUUGAGAAGAGAAUGCCUUCUUAGCAGGCAGGGUCCUGGAAGCAAAGCAAUCUGCUUUGGACCUUCUGCCAGGUCCUGACAGUAGGUGAGAGAGAUAAAGAGGGGUUAACGCUGAAAAGAAAAUGUCUUUUCAUUGAAAUAGAAGUUUCAAUUGAAUGAAAUUAUUGCCUCCAGACCUAGAUUUCCAGUAGAAUGGGAUAGUUUAUUGGGAGUGGUUCUGAGCUAAUUUUCAGCUCAAUAGAGAUCUAGAUCUAGAUCAGUAAAAAUGUAGGUCUCCAGCUAAAUGAGACCACUUAAGUUCUAGCUAAGUAGGAGUAGUCCUGGAGUGGGUCUAUCACUGAGGCAAGAGUUCAAGUAGAAUUUCUCAAGAGUUCCCCCCAAAGUCAGAAUAGUAUCAGGGUUCCCCCAUCAAAAUAAAUAUGUUCUUUAAUACUCAGUGAAUUCAUUCUAAAGAUAGGGAUUGGGGAAGAUGUUAGAAAAAAACCAUAGCGACAUAAUUAUUCAUCACAGUUUUCAUUUGCAUUGUUCCUAUUUAUUUGAAAACUUUUUUUCCAUAGUCAUUGAUGAGUUACAUUUCUUUUAAAAAACAGAGCUAUACUUUGAGCAUGAAGUAUUAAAGAAUGGUUCUUAUUCUUAAAAAUUUGUGUCAAUUCCAUAUAUGUAUUGAUUAUUAGACCUUUAUAUUUCAUUGAAAGAGCUUUUUUUCCAUUUUAUGGUUUCUCUUCUUGCAGUUAACAUUGUUUUUGUUUAUG
rnacentral:lncRNA from 1 species